AGGUAGUUAGUUUAAUUAAAACAAAUGAUUUCGACUCAUUAGAUUAUGAUAAACCCAUAACUACUAA
rnacentral:tRNA from 1 species